UGCUGCCAUGGGCGCAGCCUGAUGCAGCGACGCCGCGUGAGGGAUGAAGGCCUUCGGGUUGUAAACCUCUUUCAGGAGGGACGAAGCCCCUGUGACGGUUCCUGCAGAAGAUGCCCGUGCCUCCUACAUGCCCCCCGGCGCGGUAAUUGGUAGGGGGCGAGCGUUGUCCUGAGGUGCUGGGCGUGUCCGGAUUUUAUGCGGUUUGUCACGUCGGAAGUGGAAACGCAAGGCUCAAGUGAAAACCUGCGGCUCAUACUGGCAGACUCGAGGGAAGCAGGGGGGAAUGGAAUUCGUGGAGGAGAGUUGAAAUGCUGGUAUAUCGGGAAGAAGCCCGGAGAUCAAGGCGAAUCUCUGGGGCUUAACCGACUCUGAGGAACGGUAGUGUGGCUAACGAACUAGA
rnacentral:rRNA from 1 species